GGAGGUGUAGCUCAGUGGUAGAGCGUGUGCUUAGCAUGCACAAGGUCCUGGGUUCAAUUCCCAGUACUUCCA